ACAGCUCAAAUUUGAAAUCUGGCCCUCGGGUCCGAGUUGUAAUUUGUAGAGGAUGCUUUUGGCGCGGUGCCUUCCGAGUUCCCUGGAACGGGACGCCUUAGAGGGUGAGAGCCCCGUACGGUUGGACACCAAGCCUCUGUAAAGCUCCUUCGACGAGUCGAGUAGUUUGGGAAUGCUGCUCUAAAUGGGAGGUAAAUUUCUUCUAAAGCUAAAUAUUGGCCAGAGACCGAUAGCGCACAAGUAGAGUGAUCGAAAGAUGAAAAGCACUUUGAAAAGAGGGUUAAACAGCACGUGAAAUUGUUGAAAGGGAAGCGUUUGCGACCAGACCUUUUCCUGGCGGAUCAUCCGGUGGUUUCCACCGGUGCACUUCGCCAGGUCGAGGCCAGCAUCGGUCUCUGUAGGGGGAUAAAAGCUCGGGGAACGUAGCUCCUCCGGGAGUGUUAUAGCCCUCUGCAUAAUACCCUUAUAGGGACCGAGGACCGCGCCUUCGGGCAAGGAUGCUGGCGUAAUGGUUGUCAACGACCCGUCUUGAAACACGGACCAAGGAGUCGAACAUUUGUGCGAGUGUUUGGGUGUCAAACCCUCACGCGUAAUGAAAGUGAACGGAGGUGAGAGCCCUUACGGGUGCAUCAUCGACCGAUCCUGAUGUCUUCGGAUGGAUUUGAGUAAGAGCAUAACUGUUCGGACCCGAAAGAUGGUGAACUAUGCGUGGAUAGGGUGAAGCCAGAGGAAACUCUGGUGGAGGCUCGCAGCGGUUCUGACGUGCAAAUCGAUCGUCAAAUCU
rnacentral:rRNA from 1 species